UUCGAUGCAACGCGAAGAACCUUACCUGGCCUUGACAUGUCUGGAAUCCUGUAGAGAUACGGGAGUGCCUUCGGGAAUCAGAACACAGGUGCUGCAUGGCUGUCGUCAGCUCGUGUCGUGAGAUGUUGGGUUAAGUCCCGCAACGAGCGCAACCCUUGUCGUUAAUUGCCAUCAUUUAGUUGGGCACUUUAGCGAGACUGCCGGUGACAAACCGGAGGAAGGUGGGGAUGACGUCAAGUCCUCAUGGCCCUUACACGCUGGGCUACACACGUGCUACAAUGGCGGUGACAGUGGGCAGCAAGCACGCGAGUGUGAGCUAAUCUCCAAAAGCCGUCUCAGUUCGGAUUGUUCUCUGCAACUCGAGAGCAUGAAGGCGGAAUCGCUAGUAAUCGCGGAUCAGCAUGCCGCGGUGAAUACGUUCCCAGGCCUUGUACACACCGCCCGUCACACCAUGGGAGUUGGAUUCACUCGAAGGCGUUGAGCUAACCCGCAAGGGAGGCAGGCGACCACAGUGGGUUUAGCGACUGGGGUGAAGUCGUAACAAGGUAGCCGUAGGGGAA
rnacentral:rRNA from 1 species